rnacentral:misc_RNA from 1 species
AACGCACAUUGCGCCCUGUGGUAUUCCGCAGGGCAUGCCUGUUCGAGCGUCAUUACAACCACUCAAGCCUGGCUUGGUCUUGGGGUUUGCGGUUCCGCAGCCCCUAAAAUCAGUGGCGGUGCCGGUGUGGCUCUACGCGUAGUAAUUCUUCUCGCGAUGGAGUUCCCCUGGAUACCUGCCAGAACCCCCCAAUUUUACAGGUUGACCUCGGAUCAGGUAGGGAUACCCGCUGAACUUAA